GAGAGCGAGAGAGGUGUGUAUUUCCUUCUCUCCCUCCGUACUCGGUCUCACUCUACACGUCGUCUCCGUGAUCUUUGCCAGCAGUGCACGCGUGCUCCGUUACCAAGACAAUCACGGAUCACGAGGCUCGUCGUUCCGUCCCCGCGUCUCCCGUUACCGGAGUUUCGGGAAUGUCGAAUCCCAGGAAAGACUUUGACGUGAAACAGAUCUUGCGCAUCCGCUGGCGAUGGUUCGGCCACCCCACAUCUCCUCCUUCUCCCGGUAACCAGCCUUCGGGAGACCUCUUCAGCAGCAGCAGCGGUGGAAACAGCCGGGGGACCGGAGGCUCCUCAUCCGGCGGUGAUCAGCCCUCUCUCGGCGGCUGCAGUAACUCCAACGCCGCCGCCGGUGCCAGUUCGAGUAACGGCAACUCUUCCUCCAACAUAAAUAACAAUCGAAAGUUUGGAGAUUCAGGUCCAAAUACCGGGCACUCUGCAGCAGCAGCGGUUGUAGUUAGUGCCUCCUCGUGUCCUCGGUCCAUGAGCCAGCAGGAGUGCCGGAGCUCCCCGCCGGCGCCUUGGGUCUUCCCGGCUCACUCGCGCUCCAGCGAGAGCCUGGAGCCGCUCGUGCAGAAGCAGAAGCAGCAGUCCACGCGUAUAAAAGACGCCCCUGCCCCUGGAGACGAGGAAAACAAUAAUAACGUGGAGUCUGACUCCAGCUCGUGCAGGACAUCUAACAGCAGUGCGACUUUGUCCUCAUGUGCGUCGAUGGAGCCGUGUGUAUCAGAUGAACAUUUCCAGGCACACAGUCACGCUGAACACACCUUCAGACGAAUGGAGGCCUACCUGAGGACCAGGAAACUCUGUGAUGUUGUCCUCCUGGCCGGAGACCGCAGAAUACCAGCACACAGACUGGUCCUUUCCUCCGUGUCCGAUUACUUUGCGGCCAUGUUUACCAGUGAUGUCCGAGAGGCAAAACAAGAGGAGAUCAAAAUGGAGGGUGUGGAUCCAGAUGCAUUAUGGGUCUUGGUACAGUAUGCUUACACAGGGCGUUUGGAGUUGAGAGAGGACACAAUAGAGAGUUUAUUGUCAGCUGCUUGUCUUCUGCAGCUGUCUGCGGUGGUUCAGGCCUGCUGCAGUUAUCUAAUGAAACAACUCCAUCCCUCCAACUGUCUGGGUAUUCGAUCUUUUGCCGAUGCUCAGGGUUGCCUGGACCUCCAUAAGGUGGCACACAACUACACCAUGGAGCACUUCAUGGAGGUCAUGAGGCAUCAGGAGUUUCUUCUCUUGCCUGCAUGUGAGGUGGAGAAGCUUUUAGCUUCUGAUGACAUGAACGUUCCAGAAGAGGAAACUGUGGUAACAGCCCUGCUUAGCUGGGUCCGCCAUGAUGUUUCCUCCCGUCAGUCACAGCUUCCAACUCUUCUCGCUCACAUCCGCCUACCCCUGCUUAAACCACAGUUUUUAGCUGAUAUGGAGGCAAAUCCAUUGCUAAGGGACAGUGUGGAGUGUCAGCGGCUAGUGAUGGAGGCCAUGAAGUAUCAUUUGUUGCCAGAGAGAAGGCCGCUUCUCCAGAGCCCGAGGACACGUCCACGCAAGGCCACUGUUGGGGCACUUUUCACCGUGGGUGGCAUGGAUGCCACAAAAGGGGCCACUAGUAUUGAGCAGUACUGUUUACGGAGGGACACAUGGCGGCAGGUGGCUGUCAUGAGUGGAAGAAGGCUGCAGUUUGGCGUAGCAGUUCUUGACGACCGCCUGUAUGUGGUUGGGGGACGAGAUGGCCUCAAAACUCUCAACACAGUGGAGUGUUACAACCCCCGCAGCAAGAGCUGGAGCGUCAUGCCCCCCAUGUCCACGCACAGACACGGCCUGGGCGUUGCAGUCUUAGAAGGCCCCAUGUAUGCAGUGGGAGGUCAUGAUGGUUGGAGUUAUCUCAGCACGGUGGAGCGCUGGGACCCUCAAGCUCGCCAGUGGAGUUUUGUUGCAUCCAUGGCAACACCUCGAAGCACUGUGGGAGUUGCAGUGUUAAACAGCAAGCUGUAUGCUGUGGGUGGUCGUGAUGGAAGUUCAUGUCUGAAAUCAGUGGAGUGUUUCGAUCCUCACACCAACAAAUGGAGCAGCUGUGCUCCCAUGUCUAAACGCCGAGGCGGUGUUGGUGUAGCGACGUGGAAUGGUUUUCUGUAUGCUAUCGGUGGUCAUGAUGCCCCAGCUUCAAGCUUAGCAUCUCGACUGUCAGACUGCGUUGAAAGGUAUGACCCAAAGACAGACAUGUGGACAGCAGUAGCUCCCAUGAGCCUCAGCAGAGAUGCUGUAGGGGUGUGUCUUCUGGGGGACCGUCUUUAUGCUGUCGGUGGUUAUGAUGGUCAGGUGUAUCUUAACACCGUGGAAGCUUACGACCCCCAAACCAAUGAGUGGACACAGGUGGCACCGUUGUGCUUAGGUCGAGCUGGGGCUUGUGUGGUUGCGGUGAAGCUUUGAAAUGCCUCCCGCUGUCAAUCAUCUCCAUGGUGACCGUCUUACAGUGCAAGCCUCCAGUGCUCUGGUUGUAGUGUCUCCAGACAGAUCUGAGCAUCUGCUGACCACAGCAGAGAAAAUCACUGACAUACAGCUGAAUACUCAACUGUGGUCUUCCUUUAUGCCUUCUAAAAUGCAUCCCAGUGCUCAGUGGAGGAAGUUAACCACACAAACUGAGAUGCUGUUCCCCUGCUGAGCAAAGGAAAGCUUUAGCCAAAGAUUAAAGAAGAUCAUUGUAAAUAAUGGUUAUUGUGGGGUUUUCCUCAUGGCUUCCACAAUGUUUUAUUUAUAGUAUUUCUAUUUUUGCACGGUGAUUCAUCUCCACAAUAACAGCUGGAUUCUGGGUCACUGUCCAUUUAAUGGAAAUAAAUUCUGCUGGGGAGCAGAACAAAGGCAAAAAGACCAGAUUAACCAUGAUUUAGAUUUGCAUCCCAAAUUCCUUCAAUGAACCCUAGAUACAUUGACAAAUAUACUAUACACAAAUAUCAGUUCAUCAGCAUGAGACAUGAACAUUCAGUUUGGAGAAAUCGUUUAAUGUGCAGUUUUGGAAUAUUAUUGUACAAAAUUAAUGAUUUUUAUAACCUUCCCUCCCUCAUGUGCACUGUCAGUUUUUUGUAAAGGUAAAACUUAAAUCUAAAUAUUCUUUAAAAAAAAAAAAAGAUUUCAGGAACAAAAUAGUUAAAGAAAUUAAAGGAAUAUAGUUCCCCCCAGUUGUUUUUUUUUUUUUGUUUUUUUUUUAAAUAAUCUUAUUAGUUUAGAAACAUAUUCAUUGUUUUUCUUCCCAAGUACGUUUAUCUCGUUCAAUGGAUGUUGUAAAACAAACAAAAAUAUUGACUUUAGUUUAUUUUUUGCAGUAUAACCAGAGCGUUUUCUUUGACGGUGAGAUCGAUUUUUUUCCCCCCGUUAGGUGCAGAUCAGUGGAGAAUUUAAGCUUUAGAGUUUUAAACCAGCUCUUUGGAUCUCUUCAGUACUCUUGUUCAUUUUGCACAACUAUGUCUGGUUUCCACUCAGGGUAUCUGUUUCUGUUCAGGGUUUCUUUUCACCAGUCUCAUUUUUUCCGCCUCCUUUUCUUUUUUUUAGUCAGGUGUGUGUGUAUAUCUACUUGUGCAUUACUGUCCUUUUCUUAGAGAAAAGUGUCAUGUUUUGUGUGUGCGUUUGUGUUUUAGUGGCACACUCUUAAAUCCCAUACUGAGUACAAAGUGCAGCUUGAGAAGGCUGAGAAAACAGUUUUGGUAUUUUGAUCUAGUUUUCUAAAUCCCAAGAUCCAUUUCAGUGUUUUAAAUGAAGAAAGAGAAUUGCACAGAUUAGCAUAUGAAAAGAAACAGAAAGAAAUGAUGGAACAAUUUAGAUCAGAGCUAUUAAAAGUCGAAAUAUAGAGCAAGAGAGCACCACAUGCUGUUUACAAUAGAAUAUUCACACUAGAUUGUCUUCAUUCAGUCGAUAUCAGAAACUGUAAAACCGUUAUUGCUGUAGUGUCUUAUUUUGUCAUCAUACUGUUGUUAUUCAUUUCAUAUUUCAUCAUUAUGCUGUUCAUCAUUUUGACAUACUUGUGCAGCUAUGAGUAUAUGGAAGAUUUUCAGAGGAGGGAUUGUAUUGGUUUGGUUUGUGAGGGACAAACAAUAAUAUCUCUAAAAACCAUGAUGGUCAGUGUUAUUUAUAUAUUAUUGCACAUUUAAAAUGUCAAGUGUCAUGGUCCUCUUAUGUGUGUUCUGUUAUUGACGGGUUUCCAUGUAUUAAUUAUUAUCUUGCACUAUAUUCUUAUUCAGCUAAAGCAGAGCCUGUCUUCACAGUCAUUUAUUGAAAUUGGUGAAUAUAUUUUCAAAUUGGCUAAUCACAGAUUUGCUUCAUUUGUUUUGGGUACCAUAUAUAUUGGGAAUGUACAGUAUAUCAUAAGAAGAUACUACAGUAUCAAAGAAAAAAUGAUCACACAUGAAAAUGUACAGUACAGCACAUACUCUUUCCACUAUUAAAUCGAAUCUUAUGAGAAAAUGUAAACUGUUUGUAAAAAUGAUCCUAAUUAAUUCCAUUGUAAAAUAAUUCCUUUGUUUUUAAUUGUAAUUACAUCUGGCAACACACACCCACACACGUACAGUAUUUAUGAUUGGAAUAUUUAUAUAUUCAUGAGGCUGAGUUUCAUCUAAUUGUAAGACAUUAUCACUGAAUACACUACAGUUAUGUAUUUUUUAUAUAUAUAUAUUUGUCAUCUUUUUUAUAUUAAUACUGGAACCUGUGUUAGUGAAAUAAGUGAGUGAUCUCAGGAGGAAUCUCUCUUAAAUGUUAUGCAUAUUGUUGCAUACUGUUAUGUAUAUGUUGUAGUUUGAUCAUGGAUGCAUCUCUCACUUGUGCAGAGCUUGCUACACCUGAAUGAUGAUGGGAGGCAUGCAAUUUUUUAUUGUAAUAUAAACUGCUGUCCAUGCAAUUGUUUUUCUUAUGCAGUACAUUUCACAGUGUAUUGUUUGAUUUAUGACUGUUUUUGGUUAUUAAACUGUAAAAGAAUGUC